UGACACUAUGGAGAGCAGACAAAGACACUAGAUCUUAACUGAAAGAAAUGAAGCAGGAAUAAAGAAACAAAAACCAGAUUGACUCUUGGCUGCUUUAAGUGACAUCAGAAGCUGGAGUCUAUGGGCUUAGGGAAACAAGCUCUGCUAAAAUUCUCUGCUGCAGUUCUAUUCAUGUAAAUCUCCAUACAGGCACUUCAGAGAAAACAAUUUGCUGCACACAAAUGAAAACAAAACAAAAGCACGGCUCAAGGACUGUUUUGUCUGUCUGCAUGGCUUGAAAAACAGAAGAGUUUAUCUCAAAUAUGAAGUUGAAACUACAUCUAUAGUCUUAUUUAAGCAACUAU